AGGGAUGUAGCCGAGUGGUAAGGCAACGGACUUUGACUCCGUCAUUCGUAGGUUCAAAUCCUGCCAUCCCUGCCA
rnacentral:tRNA from 1 species